AGAGUUUGAUCCUGGCUCAGGAUGAACGCUGGCGGCGUGCCUAACACAUGCAAGUCGAACGGAGUUCUUAAGGAAUGCGACUUCGGUCAAAUGACUUUUGAACUUAGUGGCGGACGGGUGAGUAACGCGUGAGCAACCUGCCUUUCAGAGGGGGAUAACAUUUGGAAACAGAUGCUAAUACCGCAUAAGAUUACAGUACCGCAUGAUACAGUGAUCAAAGGAGCAAUCCGCUGAAAGAUGGGCUCGCGUCCGAUUAGAUAGUUGGUGAGGUAACGGCUCACCAAGUCGACGAUCGGUAGCCGGACUGAGAGGUUGAACGGCCACAUUGGGACUGAGACACGGCCCAAACUCCUACGGGAGGCAGCAGUGGGGAAUAUUGCACAAUGGGCGAAAGCCUGAUGCAGCAACGCCGCGUGAGGGAAGACGGUUUUCGGAUUGUAAACCUCUGUUUUCGGUGACGAACAAAUGACGGUAACCGAGUAGGAAGCCACGGCUAACUACGUGCCAGCAGCCGCGGUAAUACGUAGGUGGCAAGCGUUAUCCGGAAUUACUGGGUGUAAAGGGAGCGCAGGCGGGAUAGCAAGUCAGCUGUGAAAACUAUGGGCUCAACCCAUAAACUGCAGUUGAAACUGUUAUUCUUGAGUGGAGUAGAGGCAAGCGGAAUUCCGAGUGUAGCGGUGAAAUGCGUAGAUAUUCGGAGGAACACCAGUGGCGAAGGCGGCUUGCUGGGCUCUAACUGACGCUGAGGCUCGAAAGUGUGGGGAGCAAACAGGAUUAGAUACCCUGGUAGUCCACACUGUAAACGAUGAUUGCUAAGUGUGGGGGGGCCUGACCCCCUCCCCGCCCGAGUUAACGCAAUAAG
rnacentral:rRNA from 1 species